GAGAAUCACUUGAACCCGUAAGGCGGAGGUUGCAGUGAGCCGAGAUAGCGCCAUGACACUCCAUUGUGGGUGACAGAGCGAGACUCCAUCUUAAAAAAUAAUAUUCAAAGUAGGUAGGAUUUUGAUAGGUGCAGAACUGGGUGGUUCUAGUUCAAGGGAAUAGCACAAGGGGUAGGAGUGCUUGAAGAGGACAUGAAUAGGCAGCUAAGCAAGGUGUCAUCUGCCUUCUGGAGGGCAGAGGGCAUGAAAAAGGGGUCCCAGAUUUUGGUCACCCCAUGAAUGACAGGUGUCUGGGUUGGCUUGUGAUGACAGUGAGGAGGAAAGGGAGGCUUUUGAGAAGGGAUGCAGUAAGAACAGGGUUGAGUUCUAUGAAGAUUCCCUCUGGCAGGCAGCCCUAUGGAGGAUGGAUUGGAGAAAAGAUACUGACAUCAGGGAGCCGUGACAGAUCUUUGCUGUUGUCCAGGUGACAGAUAGCAUUUAGAACUAUAAAUUUCCAGUCCCAGCUACUCAGGAGACUGAGGCACAAGAAUUGCUUGAACCUGAGAGGUAGAGGUUGCAGUGAGCCAAGAUCGCACCACUGCACUCCAGCCUGGGCGACAGAGGGAGACUCUGUCAAAAAAAAAAAGAAAGAAGAAAGAAAGAAAAGAAAAGAAAGAAGAAAAAAGAAAGAAAGAAAAAGAGAAAGAAAAAAAGAAGGAAGGAA
rnacentral:lncRNA from 10 species